rnacentral:lncRNA from 10 species
GCUCGCACCCUGCCGCGGCGGCCGGGCUGCUGUUUCCACCACCACUCCUGGCCCGGGGUCGCAGAUUCAAAUUUUACUGCACUGCCCCUGUCGCAGAAGUUCCUGGGGAGGCAGGGCGGCAGCUCCCACCCGCCAUCCCAAGCCGCCGAAGAAUUCCCCAGAGCUAAGGCAGACGCACUUAGCUUUCUUUUCUUUGAGGGAGAAGGGGUUUGCUUUAACUACUUAAUGUCGUUUGUUUAAAUAAAUCACUAGGCUGGUCCCGUUGCGGUGGUGUUUGCAGCUAAUUGGUCACAGCCAGAGAUUUGUUUCUUCUCCACUCGCACUGUGUCACUUGACUAGCUUUAAAAUUAAAAACAGAAAGUACUAUAUUCCUAAAAGGAAGUGUUGCUUUCAUUUUUGUCUGGGGGUGGAGGGAAUCAUUCCUGGCCCAUCUUUUUAGAGCGCGUUGCCAGAAAAAAGUAAGAUUUCAAUGAAGGGUAGCUCUUUCCUGAGAGAGUGGGAUGUGGGGAAACAGGAAUAAGAAAGAAAAAGGAAAAUUUUCCUAAGGAAUGAAGAAAGUUGCUGAAGAAAUGUGGAACAGUAGGGUGAGGAGGGGGAAGAGCCCUCAGCCCCCAUCACACAGCAUCUCUGUCACUCCAGCGGCCCAGUACCUUGCAUCCAGCCCGCACCCUCGCCGCCCCCACGAAGUUCAGCGAAUUCCCGCCACUUUCCCUGCAAUGAACAUACGGAACCCAUCAAUCCCAGUGCUGGAGGAAUGACUGACCUGGAGCCUAAAGAUGGUCUUUAUAAAAGGCCUAGGUAAAUUUGUUCAUUUCAUAUCCAAGGAAGACCACUCCAUAGUUGACUUUGCCUUCUAGUUUUAGAAGAUGAGUACCAUAAAAUUCCACGGGGAAGUGGCUCUGAGGAAGUGGCUCUGAGGUGCUGCAGAAGAACUGCAGUAACAACUCCUCCCCCUCGUCCCCAAUUUUUGUUUGUAAAAUGAAGGACUGAACUAUGAAAACCUCCAGGGCUACCUGUGCUCACCCAAUCAUCCUAAUACCUACAGAAACAAAUUCAGAGUUCAACAGAUUCAGGUUUAUUAAUCCACUGCCUUGAAGAAGAGCUCACGCUCAAGGAACCUUGGAACAUCUCACCAAACAAAGGAAUGGAUGAAAUUAACCCAGGGCUUUCUGGGAGGUGUGGAGUUCUGAUGACAUUUAAAUGAAGCAGUGUUUUUGAGAGGCCCCAGGCAAAGCAGAGCUGCAAAUAAAGGCAUUAACAUCAGGUCUGGACCACCAUGGACCCCAGGUUCUGUUUCCGUGAAUACUACAGUUAAGAUAGAUGGGAAGUGUUGUCUUCAGAAACCCCUUUUUCCUUCACCUGGCUUGGAAGUCAAGACUGCUUCUCUGUGUCUUAGGUCCUCCAAGCAAGAGUGGAAUGUUUUAUUCUUACUGAUACAAUUUCAAACAACAGUUUGUAAUAGUCUAUGAUUUUUGUGGAAUCAGUUUUCUCAGUAAGAAAUCAGUAGGCCAGGCAUGAUGGCUCGUGCUUAUAAUCCCAGAACUUUGGAAGGGGGAUUGCUUGAGGCCAGGAGUUCGAAACCAGCCUGGGCAACAUAGAGAGACCUUGUCUCUACAAAAUAAUAAAAAAAUACAAUUAGCCGGGCGUGGUGGUGUGUGCCUGCAGUCCUAGCUACUACAGAGGCUGAGGCAGGAGGAUCGCUUGAGCCUAGGAGCCAAGAUUACACUGAGCUAUGGUCGUGCCACUACACUCCAGUCUGGGUAACAGAGCCAUACCCUGUCUCAAAAAAAAAAAAAAAAAAAAAAAGAAAGAAAUUAGGUCACUCAAAGAAGGAGUUUGUGUGACACUUUAUAAAUGUAGUAUGUCCUUGAGAGAAAUACUUUUCUGCUUACCUUUCAGCUGGCUUUAUCUCUGUCUGUUAGUCCAGUCUGAUCAAUGAAGGUAGAGUCUUACUUUCUCACUCUUUCAGUCCUAUUAUUCUUUGCCUGGUUCCUUCAUCAUAUUUAUAUCCUGUCAUCCUUAUCUUUAAUUGCAGAAAAAGUCAGCACUCUCCCUCUCAAAAACUAAUUUCUCAGUUGCAUUCAAAAUUCUUUCCAACUUCGUCCAAUACCAAUGGCCACCAUCUUCUUCCAUCUUUGAUUUCUCCCUUUUCUUGGCUUCCCUGAAGAAAAAAGGGAAACAAAUACGCUCAGCCAGCCCAUCUUUAAAACAGCAAUGAAACCUAACACCUUCAUUGGUUCCUGUUGACUAGUAGCCUUCUGUCAAAGAUAAAACAAGCCAGACGCUAAAGUGGUAUUGACAACUUUUAAUGCAUAACACACUAUUGCAAUGGGGAAAAUAAGCCAGAGUCAACUGAACUCAACUUUGACUUGUACAGAGGUAACUGGACGUUUUAAAGGGAGCACAAAGAAAUACAAAGGGGGAUGAGCUGGAGCUCAGUAGAGCCCGGGAAGUGAAAAAUUGCAAAAAGCAAUAAGUGGGGGUUGGUCCACGUGGAACCCAUCUGGGUUUUCUAACUGGUCCUUAUAGAGGUUAGGCUCCUGCCCUCCCGCAGAACCUAGGAGACAGGGACCCUAUC